ACCGAGUCUAGCGGUUAGAACGCUGGCCUUGUAAUCCUGGGGUCUCGGGUUCGAUUCCCGGCGGUG
rfam:Zootermopsis nevadensis contig7923, whole genome shotgun sequence.